ensembl:processed_transcript Mir100hg Mir100 Mirlet7a-2 Mir125b-1 cluster host gene
GGAUUUUGGAGUAUCGCUUCCUGCCCCCGCCUUCCCUCCCCGCCCCAUUCUCUGUCCUAUUGAACACCUCGCCCAGCCUAGAGCUCACAUUCUCCCCCGGCUCCGGAUGGCGCUCCUGGAAGCUCUGCAACUAGGCUCCACUUCAAAUGGACCCAUAACUGGUGUUACACCCCCACUCCCUGCCACCACAAAUACUGAGUCCAUUCCAGGAAUAGAAACCGCCGAAGGAUUACAUUCUCCACGGAGAACGAUCUCUAUGAAGGUAGCUAACCAAGCCAGCUUUUCCCCUUUUAUAAGCAACAGUUCCAGUGUCUUGCUGCUCCUAAAACUGAUGAGUGCCGGGUAUGACCAAUG